rnacentral:rRNA from 2 species
ACUCAAAGGAAUUGACGGGGGCCCGCACAAGCGGAGGAACAUGUGGUUUAAUUCGAUGGUACGCGAGGAACCUUACCUGGGCUAGAACGCUUCUGGGAUGCUGCGGAAACGUAGCAGCCGGCAACGGCCGGGAGCGAGGUGCUGCAUGGUUGUCGUCAGCUCGUGCCGUGAGGUGUCGGGUUAAGUCCCAUAACGAGCGCAACCCCUACGUCCAGUUGCCAGCGGGUAGAGCCGGGGACUCUGGAUGGACAGCCGGCGUAAGCCGCGAGGAGGGGGGGGAUGACGUCAAAUCAGCACGGCCCUUACGUCCAGGGCUACACACGUGUUACAAUGGCCGGUACAGCGGGAGGCGACCCCGGGAGGGGGAGCGGAUCCCGAAAGCCGGUCGUAGUUCGGAUCGGAGUCUGGAACCCGACUCCGUGAAGCUGGAUUCGCUAGUAAUCGCGCAUCAGCCACGGCGCGGUGAAUACGUUCCCGGGCCUUGUACACACCGCCCGU